rnacentral:antisense_RNA from 1 species
CAUUUGUUUCCUUUUACUUUUUUAAUGUGGCUAAUGAAAAACUUGAAACUACAUACAUGGCUCACAUGCUAUUUCCAUCGGAUGAUGCUGAUCUUGAACAUCACCUGACACACAGUAGGUACCCUACAAAUAUUUGUUGAAUGAAUACAUCUGGAAAACAGCAGCACAGCCCCAUCUGGGUUUGUGUGGAGGGGUCUGGGUUGUGGACACAGAACUGUCAUCAGAGAGAUGGUGCCCACCAUAGCAUGGAUAGUGUUCGGGCAUGGCAGUGGUGUAGGCCUGGGGACACCUUCAGUUUCUCAUCCAACACAUAUUUACUGAGCACAUACUACGUGCCAUGGAAGGGGAGAGAGCAAUGCCAUCCUGCAGGAGAAGUGCUUUCCCUACGGAAGCGAGGGGCAUCCAGCUCUGUCUUGGGGUGGGGGCUACCAGGGGAGCCCUCUCCUUGAAGGUGUCUGUUUUCUUCCCAAGUGACAACAAUAGGUGGCGGCGGCGGCGGGAGCAGCUUCUGCGCCUCUUCGUGUGCACGGUUGCAGCGGUUGUCACGCUCCCCGGCGCGCGGGCGGCCCUUCCAGAGCAGGUGGCCCAGCUCGGCUACGCUGAGCAGCGCCGACAGCAGCCCCACCGCGAAAUAGAAGAGCACGAAGACGGUCUUCUCGGUGGGCCGGCUCACGAAGCAGUCGACCGUGUGCGGGCAGGGCGGACCGGCGCACGCGAAGUGCGGGGCCACGCGGAAGCCGUAGAGCAGCGCCUGGCCGCCCAGGAAGGUCAGCUCGGCCAGCAGGCGCAGCGCCACGCUCAGCAGGUAGCAGCUGCGCGCGCGGCGGGCGCGCAGGGCGCACGGCGCGCACUGGGCCUCGGGCAGUCCCGGGGCGCACUGCGCCGCCGCCUCAGCGCCGCCCGCCUCCUUGCCUGCCCGGUGCAUGGAGUAGACGACGAACAGCACCGGGGGCGCCGAGAGCAGCAGGAUGUGGAAGAGCCAGAAGCGGUAGUGGGAGACCGGGAAGGCGCGGUCGUAGCAGGUCUGGCGACAGCCCGGCUGCAGCGUGUUGCACACGAACUCCUCUUGCUCGUCCUCGAACACGGCGCCGCCCACCGUGGCCAGCACCAGGAUGCGGAAGAUCAGCAUGACCACCAGCCAGAGGCGGCCCACGAGCGGCGACUGCAGCUGCACGGCGUCCAGCAGCGAGCCCAGGAACGCCCACUCCCCCAUGGCGCUGGGGACGCGGGGCGGGGAGUCAGGGGAUGGGGCAAGUCAGGGACCCCUGCCCCUUCCAAGCCUAUCGGGGUGGGGUCCGUUGGACCUUCUCUGACUUCAGGGUGAGUCGUGAGGUAGGAGAGGCCCGGGUUUAGCGAUGAGACCAGUAUGAAACGGAGGGCCACGGGAGGGCCCGAGGGGAGCAGGCGACGCUCAGCUAUGGGUUCCCUUCUCUUUGGGGCCGAUGGGUGCUGGGGAGGAUCCCCCAUUUGCAUUUUAGCCGCACCCCCUGAGCCGUCUCCGUUCGACCCUGGGAUCCUCCAGAUCCCAGAUUCUUAGGAAGGACCUUGGAGAUCAGCUGGACCAGCCCCUGACUUGCCUGGUUUCGGAAGCGGAAACCCAGCGGUGCCCUUAGCUGUCAAGGAUGCUGUGGGAAGAGUGGAGCCUCGAACCCGAGCCGCUAGACCCAAUUUGGUGCCCAUGGGAGGAGUGGGAGUGGCAGAGGCAGCGAGACCACUCCUUUCUUGGCCCACCAUUUCUCUCACCAUUUUUACUGCAGUGAACUCCUCUCAGGGUGGGGGGCUGGUACAGAGGCAACUCCGCUUUCAUAACUGUCACAGGGUCCUUUGUCGGAGGUGUCCCUGCCCUCCUACCCCAGCGUGGUGGGAGUGCGACGCCAGGCUUCUCCCUCCUCCCCGGCCUCCUGUGCCUCCAGCCUCCACAUCUCCUGAGAGCCUCCCCACCCCACACUUACACAGGUCCCCACACGCCCCUGGUGCCCGUAAACCGCCACCCAACCCCACUCACCCUGGGGCCGGGACUGGGGUGUCAGAGCUGAGCCAGGGACCUUGGGAGGUGGCUGGGACCGGCGCCUCCUGCUCCCUCUUUCAUUU